rnacentral:rRNA from 1 species
CCUACGGGCGGCAGCAGUGAGGAAUAUUGGUCAAUGGACGGAAGUCUGAACCAGCCAUGCCGCGUGCAGGAAGACGGCUCUAUGAGUUGUAAACUGCUUUUGUACAAGGGUAAACCUGAAUACGUGUAUUCAGCUGAAAGUACUGUACGAAUAAGGAUCGGCUAACUCCGUGCCAGCAGCCGCGGUAAUACGGAGGAUCCAAGCGUUAUCCGGAUUUAUUGGGUUUAAAGGGUGCGUAGGCGGCUUGAUAAGUUAGAGGUGAAAUGUCCGAGCUUAACCCGGGAACUGCCUCUAAUACUGUUGAUCUGGAGUGCAGGUGCGGUAGGCGGAAUGUGUGGUGUAGCGGUGAAAUGCUUAGAGAUCAGAAAGAACACCGAUUGCGAAGGCAGCUUACUAAUCUAUAACUGACGUUGAGGCACGAAAGCGUGGGGAGCAAACAGGAUUAGAUACCCUAGUAGUC